rnacentral:lncRNA from 1 species
CUAGGGACCCCUUGCAUUUAGUAGCCUGGUUUUUGAUACUUCUCAAAGUCGGAAACAACAGCAGUUGUUUGUAGGCAAGUCACAUUACCUAGCACAGAGCAAGGGCUCUGCCGAGCUGCCACACACAAGCUCUGUGAGUUCAAGCCUACAUCCUGCCCAGCACCGCAACUGAUGGGGUGACACUGCCAAAAGUAAGAGGAAGAAACAGGCAGGCUGCAGUUUUCUGUCAAUGCUAACUCGCAGCCUUCCAAGAUUACAAACCCCAGCACUAACACUGAACUUUGAUGCUCAUGUCUCAAACACGUUACAAGCUAACUCACGAUGGGCAGAUUUGUGCAACCUAAUGGCAGCAAGUGAAGUGCCAAGGUUACAGUGCAAUGCCUGAGUAACGGCCCCAAAAAAGCCUUUGCCAAAUUUCCUAUGGCUUCAACCACAGAUGACAGAAACACACCUCCUUUAAAGUAAAGGCUGUGGAUAUUCAGCUUCAAACUUAACACCUACAUUGCUUAUUCUGAGGGAAACCACAAGACAGUGUCACCUUAUAAGCCAGUAUGCCAUUCAAAACUCACCAGAUCCAUGGCAACCUUUAGAAACACAGGAAUCUACUAAAAACUGAAAUCUAAAAAGACAAGUGAUCAACAUCUGUGCGAGCAGUUGACGACCCACUAAACCAAGAGACUGUAUCCUGUAAGCAGAUGGUCAACAGACAGCUCCCAGCCUGGACAGGACUCAUCACCUCGCACUAGUCAAGCUCCACAAGCAUUCCAGAGUCACCGUGUGCAUACCACCGAACAAGAAUACGGCUCGGUUCCAUCACCAGCCACACAUUCCCACCAUCAUCUCACCGCCAGCAAAGCCAUUUACACGCACCGACGGCUGGAGGAAAGUGGGGAGGUGCGUUUGUCUUCAGCUUGAUCAGCUCCCUGGUCAAACCAGUAAGGCAGGGAACUCAGAUUCCCACCGGCACAAACACCCCAGCUGGCACCAGGGAGAGGGCAAGACCCUCCUGGUGGCCGGGGUCUAUACUUACAUGAGCUUAAAGUGACUGUGGAGCUACACACAGAAGGUGCUGCAACUGAAACUCUCGGUGACUGGAGGCAGAUCCCAGAAACUCCCCCUUUCUCAUUUCAACAGUGAAUUGUGCUCACUUGCU